UCCAUCCACCCAUCCACCCAACCAACCAUCCAUCCACCCACUCACCCAUCCAUCCAUCCAGGAUGCCACUAGGGUAUCAGAGCCCUUAGAACACUCAGCUGAGCCAUAAUCCACAGUACCCCAGCCCUGUGCAGCCCCUGUGUCCCUGCCCUCCUCAUCUGCUCUCUACCCCUGCUUUUUGCUGCCUGGACAGCCCUCACUCUGUACAUCAGUGUGGACAAGGCCUCGGGUCCUACCUCUACAAUGCAUGUGCCACACCUGUUUUGCCAGUUUACAAUUUUACUGCAGAGAUGGGGUGUAAGGAGCUAAGGGAAGAGCCCUAUGGAGCCCUACAGAGGAGACUCUGACCUCCACCCCGUGCCUCUCCCUACUCUCACCUUCUUCUGUUUCUUCUCCAGAGGCGAGCGCCACCUCCACAAUGAACCCUACAGUCUUGUGCUGAAUAAACCAUGCCUGGAGGCUCAGCUUUUAUCUCAAGUCAGAUGGUCAAAAACACUCCCCCACAGGAGCUCUAGGGAGAAAAGCGAUUACUUCUUCCUCUCCUAUGUGUCCUAUUUUUCUGUCUGGAAACCCUUGUGUUAAGGCAGGGACAGAUAGAGAGAGAGUGAUUUGAGAAAGAUCGACAGAUGGAAAACAAGUGGCAGAUCUUAGAGGCGGGGUCAACUCCCACACAUCUCAGAAAAAGGAAGGUAAAUACACCAGCAAUGACAGUUCUGUGUGCAAUUCUGUCUCUUACUGAAUUCCUUGGCCCGCGCCCAUGGACUGCAAGGCAUAGACCAUGUGCAGGCUGGUUCUCUAAAGGCAUGGUUCUGGUGCUCUGCAUGCAUUGCCCCACAACUCAGGCUUGGGAAACACGAGCACUCACCCCUCAGUCUCCGAGGCUGGGAAUCUGGGACCGGCUUGGCAGGUGGCUCUGGCUCAGGGUCUCCUGAGGCUGCAGGCCUCUUGAUCAGGUUGGGGAUUUGCUCCCAAGAGGCCUCUCCCUGUGUGCUGGGGCGACCUCACAUCCUCAUAGUGUCCACUCUUCUCGCACUGUGGCACACAGCUUCCACCAGGAUGGCCCGAGAGGGAGGAAGGGAGAAGUCAUAGUGUUGUGACCCGGGCCUGGAGGUAAGGCAGGCUGCUCAGGGCCUGGUUACUAGGGGUGAACCUCAUGCAGGGGGCUCUCAGGUACAGCCGUCAUAGGCAUUUUCUUAGGGGAGGUUUCAUAAACAUUGGAGAGAAAAGUCCAGAGGAAGCAGGACUAGGAGGUGGGGAUGUGUGGUGCCUGCCUCUCUAGUCCCAGUCCUUCCUCUGGUGUUUUCCACCUGAUACGGCCACUCCAGGCUCCACACACCAGGGGGACCAUGUGUACCCUUCACAGCAAACCACUUCAUACUGGUCAUUUUGCAGUGGUGACAGCAAGCAGCAGUUCUGAGUCCAUGCAGCACGCAAAGUUCGUUACCUAGCGACUAUGUUUAAAUGCAAGAUCAUUGGCCGUUUCACAAAGGUGGAAGUGGAAAUAGUUCUCGAGGUCCUGAGUGGACUCCACUCUGGGAGGCGGCAACUUUCCCUCCAGCAAACAGCUAGAGACGUGACCAGGACUCUGCCUGUGCAGACUGCAGUGGACCGAGCCAAGAAAGCCACACGGGUUUCCUCCGAGAAAACAGUGGUUCAGACGAACUCUGCUGCUUCUCCUAGGAACCUUCACUGCUCUGUGGCUGGCUGUACAGCUCCUGAGGAAGCAGGAGGGGCUUUGAAAAGGGACUCAAGCGAAAAUCCUAGAGGAUGGGCUGUGGGGAUGUUUCCCAAAUAUGCAGCCAGCUCCCUCUGCCAGCAAAGAGGGACAAGAAGCUAGCAAUCCCCAUGAAAAGCAGAGAUCACACUUAAAUGCUACGCACCGCAUCCCUCUCUCGUGGUGUUGUCUCAUCCCAUCCUUUUAUAUUCUUAUUGUUUCUCAGAAACCCAGGCUGGUGAAUAAGAAGAAUGUGUGUAAGUAGGAGUCAGAGGAGAGUUCAUUCACACCUUCAGUAGUCACUGUGGCGGUUGUUUGGCGCGGUCAGGCUGCGUAACCGUGUUUAGACUUCGUGCUCUGUCCUGGCUGGUGUUCACUGAACGCUUGCAUCUCCUGAAACCCUGACGGUGUUUUGGGGCUUAAAACAAAGUAAGAUAAGUAAGGCAAGCUCCUUGCUCCUAAAGGACCUGGAAGUAUCAUCUGGAGAGAGAAUUUACUUGAAAAAAGGAACAAAACAAGAGAGAAAUAAGUUUGAAGCUCUGUGGUGGAGUCCCUGGAGCUCUGGGGCGAGAUGGGGCGCACAGGAUGUGAUGACCUUGGGCCAUGGAGCAGGAUCCCCUUGGCUGGCUCUGGGGCCUCAGGGUUCCCCUGCACAGCUGGUCAUGUGGGUGUGGCAGGACUUUCAUUGCAAAUACUGACACAGUCUGAGGCCAGGUUGGGAGAAUUAGGCCCCACGUGUGCCGCCCUGCUAUGCUGCCCUCUCUGUCCAGGCAGUCACGGGACCCCAGGACUGAGCGGGUCUGUGGAGAGCUCACCUGGGGCAGGUGACCUGCGUGUGGGAAGAGCCUGGUGUAGCAGGAGCCGUGUGCCGUGCCGGGCCUGGAGGGAGGGCCACAGGGCCAGGGGCAGAAGAAGGGGGCCCAGCGCAGGGCAGGCACAGGGAGGGUGGCCGUGCUGCACAGGCUCAGCUCGGACACCGUCCAGACACCACCAGGCACAAUGGGUGGCCACAGCCCUGCCCUUCGCCCUCACGCCUGUGGGCAAACACCAGCCUUGCCCCGGGGAUUCUGCCAGUGAGGACUGGAAAUAUUUGCAAAGAAAAAACCACGUCUGUACAGAACAUAUCAAACUGCCCUGGGCACUUCCUGCAGGGUGCAGGCGACAGCUCCUCUCUCUGCUCUCUAGGAGGAUGUGUGCAGCUCCAUGAGCUCGGAACCACUUCCUGCGGGGGCCCCAGUACUCGAGGACCGAGGUGUGGCUGGACUCCUGGACCCCUUCCCUGGGAGCCCCCUCGACCGUGCCGCUGGCCCCUUGGGCCCUCAGGCUUGCGCUGAACAAGGCUGCCUUGUUAAGCGGGAAAUCCCUUGGACAAGUUUGUCUCAAGCAGGAAUGGUUUUGAUUUCACUUCAACACCUAUGCACGAGCGGCGCCUCACCUCACGCCUCACCUGGAUCAUCUUACUCAGCCUUCCAACACUCACACGGGCGAGGCCCCAAGCCCCGGCCUCACAUGCAGUUUAGGUGCGGUUCUUCAUGCUAUGGAUGAAAGGAGCCAAGCUCAGGUGUGGGAGGAAGGAGAGCAGUUCGUGGCCAAGCUGCUCACUUUAGGAGACACUGCGACGGCUUCCAAGACGGCAGCUCCCUGGCAGGACGGGGUCCUACAAGGAGACAGGGACGUCAGCCAAGGAGACGUGGUCCCCACACUCCACGGCCACCAGGAGCUUCCUGUCCCCCAGGAAAGUGCACACAUGGAAGAGUGCGACUGCGACCCAGCCCGGCCCUGUGAUGAGGGGCGCAGCGGGGCCCCUAAGCCAGCGGGGUGGGGCGCUCAGGCCGAGGAAAGCUUUGUGGGGGACGCUGAGGUCUGAGGUGUCCCUGGGGUGAGCUCGGGCCCUGCCAUCCGCCGGAACUCAGCUGCACCUCACUCUGCUGCCACAGCAGAUGGUCUAGGGGCCGGUGUCCAGUGUGGUCCUCACUGCUGUGGCCGCUGCUGUUGGAUAUGGGCUUGGCUGUGGAGGCUGCCAUUGACCCUGGGAGGGGGCUGUGCAGCCCUGUUCCUGUCCUCGUCCCUUGGCUCCGCACAACUUCCUGCAAGUGGUUUUGCCCCACCCUGAGCCCCUGCCAUAGCUGCUUCCCUUCUCAGAAGCCCAAAGAGAAAUGGGCCCGAUGCUGGGCUGGAACCCCCAGAACGCUGAGCCAGGGUGACUCCUCUCUUCAGGACUGGGCUGCCUCUGGGAUUUGUUGCAGUCACCAAAGCUGACGAACACAGCUUCCGCAUGGGCACCGUGGGAAAACAACAGGAACUCUGGAUGCCGCAAGGACUAAAGAGAGCAGUGUGGGAAGCUCUGCAUGUUAGUUGUGGGGUCGCUGUGGCCGUGAGGUGCUGCCCUGGGGCUGCUGAGGUCUACACUGCUGUGAUUGGUGGAGGGCUGCUCGAACUGGGAGGUGUCUGCACCCUGCAUGGUGGCAGCUGUGACUUCAGGAAAACUCAGUAGGGCAUCUUUCCUCAGAGCAGUUUCUACAGUCAGAAGACCAUGAAAUGGUGAGGGGAAAGGAAAUUGGGCACCACACGAACUCCACAUCCAGCCUUCUCCAGUGUUGCUUAGCAGUGGUGGUGACUGGGAAGACACCGGCCAGAGCAGCCUGCAGGUCUCUCCCUGGUGGCACGGGGCCGGUCCCAUGGCCCUGGGGAUGCGUUCAGGCUCCUGGGGAAGGCCUGCUCCAGCCCUGGGCUUGCUGGUCUCCGAGUCUGUCCAAGCAGAGCCCAGGGACGUGGGUCACACGAUGGUAACUCUGCGGCCCAGGAUUCUGUCACCAACAGCAGCUGAAGGCCGACAGGGCUGUGGGUUCUUCUUCCACCUCCUCCCCAGGGGGCAGCACCCGUUCCUGAGUCACCACCCACUGACUGCUUCCUGAAGUGGGCUCUGAGCGGUGGCCAGCCACUCAGGAACUGCCCCAGCAGGCCCAGUCCUGGCCUCUGUUCCGGUGAUCACAGCCCUUCCCUCAGGGCCCACUGCCCUGCCCGGGGAGCUCGAGUGUGGUUAUCCAACAUGUGGUGCGGGCAGCAGGGACAGCUCUGGACCGGAAGGGCUGACCAGCACUGAAAUAGCAACAUCCCAGGUGAGAAGUGGAGAGUAAAAACAAGCUGUGCUCAUGAGCUCUCCUCGCCCUACAUAGCUGCCCGGCACCUGCACCCACUCCCCUGCUGCGCAUGGCACAGGUGGAGGGAGGGAGUCGGUGGUGAGAGUCCUGUCCUGGCUCAUCUUGUCCAGAGGCUCAGACGCUGUCCGAAAACCACAGAAGCGUGGGAGCUGCCCAGAGCGAGCCAUCGUCCCCUGCUCCUCCCACCCACUCCAUGAGGGUUUACUGUGCUGGGCAGAUGGGAAGUCCGCUCACCCGGGUGAGCUGGUGGCUCAGGGUCGAGCAGGGACAGAGAUCCUGGGAACCAAAGCCAGGUCACUGGGCCCACUGCCCGUGCUGGCCAGGAGGAAGUGGCCCUGGUGUAGCUGAGGCUCUGUCCCUCGUUGCUGUCCCCAGUGUGGCUGUGCCCCAGGGGGCAGAGCUCUGGGGAGGCUGUGCAGGAGGCCAGGCUGGGACUCCAUUCCCUCUGCCUGGUGGGUCCUGCUGCCCCAGGCUGGCUCUUGGCAGGGCCCACCAUCAUGACAGUGGUGACACACUACGUGCUGCGCUGCCACUGAGCCCAGCUUUCCUGGAGUCAACAAUCCCAGUCUCGGGGUUUCGAGCAGUGGCCCCAUUCCCUGAACCAGAAUGAGAGAGAGGAAGAUGGGCCAGUGUCACCUUGGCCACGGGCACAGGCACUAGGUGGAGGAGGUGCAGACCAUGACAGCAAGGCAGGGCUCGGGCCUUGGCUGGGGAAGCAGAUGCUGGGUAGACACCACCUUUCCCAGGUUCACGGCUCCCUGUGGGAGCUUGGAGCCUGGAUGGGCAUAAGGGGACAGAAAGAAGCCAGGCUUGCUGCCGCCUGCCCACCCUUCCAUGGACUGUCUCUCCUCAGCAGUGCCACCCUGCCCUGGAGCCAGCUGACUAUCGACUGAAACCUGGACAAACUGAGCCCAAAUAACCCUCUCCUCCUUUAACUUUGGAUGUCUGGUAUUUUGUCCUAGAAACGAGAAGAGUAACUAAGACAGUGUACAAGGCAGACUUUGCUAGAUUUCAGACAGAAGAUUUGCACUGGGAAAGGAAGAGAGAGGAUGGAAAGUGGAGCAGCUUUCUCCCUGAGAGGAGUUCCUGCCUGCACAGGGAGUGGAAGAACAUGGCAGACCUGGGACUGGUGGGGGGCGUGGACUUCAUCUCCAUUGUGAGGGGGCUGUAGGCCAGCGGGGCUCCACCCUCACGGUGGGUGAAGAUUGUCAGCCAUCAUUAGGGUUUAGAUCUGGAAUGUUCCCAAAGGCUCAGGGGUUUGGAGGUGGGCUUUGGGAGGUGACUGGAAUGGGGUGGUGCUGUGCUCAGCCAUGGAUUAAUCCAUGAUGGACUCCUGGCUAAAUGUGUGGUAGGAGGUGAGGUUGCAGGGGUGGGUCACUGCGGUGUGACCUGGAAGGGUGUGAUCUUAUCCCAGGGUCCUCUCUUCCUUCUCUGCUUCCUGGCUGCCCAGUGGGGAGCAGCUACCCCUGUCGGCCCUUCCACAUGCUGUUUCUGCCUUGGAACCAGUUGACCUUGGACUGAACCCUCUGAAGCCACGAGAGAAAAUAAACCCCGCUUCCUUUAAAUUGCAGGUGUCUGGCUUUUGUCCCCACGGUGGGAAAGUGACUCAGACAGUGAUCCUCGUGGGAGUGGGGCAGUUACCUUGGAGAGCUGAGUGACGACGGCAGAGGCCAGAUGCCAGCAUCUUCAUAUUGGCUUCCUGCCUCCAGAGCUCUAUGAAAUAACUUUAUAAAUAGAACAUUAGCAAGUGAGAUGAAACGUUACUCCUCAUAAUAAAGUGAGGUGACGCAGGAAGUUAGAAAACCUGAAAUCAGCAAAUACGCGAACCAAGCUUGUGGGGAUCUGAGGGGUGCUGGGGUGCGGGGACUACAGAGAGGUGAUGGGGUCACUGUGGCUUCAGGGUGAAGACUGAACUGCAGCUGGGGUGAGUUGGGAAUGAGGUGAGGGGCAAGGGCUCCCCAGGAGUGUGACGCGCAAAUUCACUCUGCAGACAGAAUUGCGAUUGCUCAUGAGAUGGGGAGUGACCCUGGGCUGUCUAGGUGGGACCAGCAUCAUCACAAGUGUCCCUGGAAGUGGAGGAGGAGUGGGUGGGACAGUGCCUGGGCUGCAGCAUCUGCUGGGAAGGAGCAGAGGAGUAAGGGGAUGUCUAGGAGAGGAGGCAGGGCCUGAGGGGUCAGACGCAGGUCAGGGUCGGAGUCCCCCAAGAGAGCUGGGGGUGACUCAGAGAGAGGCAAGGCUAGAAGGGAGGACUCGGAUGAGUUGACUCAAGAACUAGAUCUGGUGACACCGUAAACACUGGCGUUGCUUUAGAUGAAAACAUCUUGUAUCCUGUGACACCUUUGUUCCUACUCCUAUGCUACCUUCUCCUUCUCAAAGUGUAAGCCCUAGGGUUUUCAGCCCGUUCUGUUUCCCUGGGGGGCUGUAAAGAUGGAAUUGUAUUGCCUGACCUUGAAACAGUGCAUCCUUUCUACUGCUGAUGAGAGUGAUCUCAGCAAGACAAAAAGGUCCCAGCUUUUUUAUACUAUUCUACGUCAUAGAAAUCAUUUCAGGUCUAAAAAGAGGAAACUUGUCAAAAGUCAGUCCUGUGAUUCUUAACAGUGAGCUUAUGGGUAGUUAUUUGUCCUGGUGAUGGGAUAAUGUUUAAUUUUAUCUCUAUUUUCCAGAAGGUGUCACUGUUGUGAGUUUGAUAAGCCAUAAGAGGACCUUGGCACUUUCUUAUUCCAUAUGAGUGGACAUGAAGAUUAAAAGUUAAGAUUCUGUUACGUUUCAUAGUUUUGAUAUAGGACCUCCAAGUGAUAUAGGGGAAAUAACUCCCAAUCUACCAAGUGUCAGCUACACUGAGUUUGUGUUCCCCAAAAGCAAAGACUGAAUUCUAAGGCACAACAGAGGAAAAGGGCAGGAACUGUUUAUUGAGAGGGAGAGAUUUUAACUCCUGAGAGACAGGAGGGGACCUGAAUUGGUUACCAGGGACCCCACUUCACAGGGGAAGUCUUGUAGAGCAAAAUCAUGAGUUGGGUACAAUGCGGGACAAAACUCGGAUCAACCAAUGAGAUUACAAGUAGACCUGAGUAGGUAAUGUUGAUCCAAUGAAAAAACAGGUUACGUAGCAAGUGUACAUGGAAAGAACAAAGAACUUUUUUAGGAAGGGACCGGUCCAGAGGGCUUGGUCACCCACUGGGCGACUGAUGUCUACCUAGACUUUAUUGGGCCAGGUGUUACCACUUAUCUUAUCCCUUGAGGAAGUACGCAGGCCUGGUCAUGUUGACUUUAUCUUGAGGCCUGGCCUCCAACAGUCUCCAGCCACAGUUGUAAUUUUUCAUCCUUUGCACUGACUCUCGAGCACCCAGCCCUAUCUGACUGCCUAUAAUAUUUCUACCUAACUUAGCUGUCUAUAAUAGUGGGAAGUCUGGGCCUCUGGCCUCUUCCCUCACUAACAACUGCUUUGCGGAAUUGUGUUUCCUGGAGCAGGACACAAGCAGGACUGAGACCACCAGGGACAUCUGGAGAGAGAGCGGGGUCCUCCCCACCUCCCAGGAGAGAGCGAAUGGCCCAGGGUUUCCACCCUCACUGUACCCUGAGCCACGCAGAUGCGGAAGCUGGAGAGGACUGGAAGGGGCAGCUGCCUCCUGGGGCAGCCCCCCUGGGCUCCUGGAGGCCUGUCCCCAGCUGGGCCCACACUACUGCCUAGGCCUACUUCAGUUCUUCUUUUUAUGGUCACAUGUUUGCAUUGUAUAAUGCCCGCACUCCCAGAGGGGAGCUGGUGCAGGCGCAGAACUCACCUCAGUUCCCUCUAGGUCCCCUCCACUCCCCUCCCUCCAUCUUCCUCCCCUCCCCAUUUGCAGAAGAUCUACCUUUUU